AGGUAGAGGAGCAAAUUUUAUCAGUAUCAUUAAAGAGGACAAGUACCUAAGAUGUAAUGAAAAAGGAAAAUUUGCCGAAGUGUAUAAAAUAUACUUGUAUUUUAUAUAGCUGGGAUUGUAUAGAAAAUGUACAAUACUGUCACAAUAUAAUUGUGGGGUGCUAUCA
rnacentral:ncRNA from 1 species